rnacentral:SRP_RNA from 9 species
ACUGUGUCAGGGCUGGCAGACAGCAGCGC